GUCAGGUUGGCCGACCGGGCCGAAGGCGCCAGACUUAAGAGAUUGACGAGUCUUCUGGUCCACAUUUGUGGGCGUGGGUUCGAAUCCCACACCUGACA